CCAUAGCUAGGCUUCCUGUAACCUUCCUCUUGUUCCUCAGAUCUUCCAUAGCUAGGCUUCCUGUAGCCUUCCUCUUGAUCCUCAGAUCUUCCAUAGCUAGGCUUCCUGUAACUUCCUUCUUCCUGAUCCUCAGAUCUUCCAUAGCUAGGUUUCUUGUAACCUUCCUCUUGUUCCUCAGACCUUCCAUAGCUAGGCUUCCUGUAACCUUCUUCUUGUUCCUCAGACCUACCAUAGCUAGGCUUACGCUCAUACUCAGACUCUGAUCUGCCACCAUAUCCAGAUCCAAGACCCGAUUCAGGUCUCCUCCCAUACUCAACCUCAGUUCUUCCACCACCAGAUCCAUACUCCGAUUGAUUCUCCGUUCUACCACCAUAACUCUGCUCAGGUCUCCGACCAUACUCCGUCUCAGUUUCACCACCAUAUCCAGAUUCAGGCCUCCUACCAUACUCACUCUCCGUCUGACCACCAUAACCAGAUCCAGAUCCAUAACCAGGAUUCGGCCUCUCACCUUGAACAUGACCGCCACCACCUGAAUCGGGUCGAAAUGCGGGUCGUGGCUUGGGUCGAGAAUAGCUACUGUACUCUGUGUUGAGAGCUUCGUCUCCGUAAGCAGAAGGCUCAUGGAUCUGAGUGAAUUCAGGUCUCUCGUAUUCGAAAUCGUCAUCGACACCAGACGAGAGAGGGUAACAAGUCUCAUCGGAAGGUGGGAUCGGACGGCCGUAAAUCACCGUGAUGUCGU
rnacentral:lncRNA from 1 species